CAGAGUUGCGAAAAAUGUGUCAUUUUUUUAUUCAAUCUGGCCUACGUGACGUACAGACCCGCCACAAAUACAAAGUCUCUCUGGCUACAUAGAUAGAGUCUCCUUUGUAUUUGCACGGCGUACAACCAAUAACAUCAUGAUCACAAUAACAACCUACAUUUACCAAUCCACAAGCAAUUUAUGCGAUGCAUUUCCAUACAGCUAGCGAUCCUUAGAGAUGAUGCAUGUCUCUAAACACUCCUUAGGCGCUGGAUGAUGCGAUGUAUAGUAUAACAACCAUCCUAUUUAAAAGUGCUCCCUACCCGGAAGCUUUGUUUUUAAACUUUAUUUAAUCAUCUAUAAAACCAUUCAAAAACCUUUUAAAAACUAUUUUCCACUUUGAAACUUCACUUUUGAAAACCAACUUUCUCGAGGGG
rnacentral:lncRNA from 1 species